rnacentral:rRNA from 1 species
GAUGAACGCUGGCGGCGUGCCUAAUACAUGCCAGUCGAGCGAACAGACGAGGAGCUUGCUCCUCUGACGUUAGCGGCGGACGGGUGAGUAACACGUGGAUAACCUACCUAUAAGACUGGGAUAACUUCGGGAAACCGGAGCUAAUACCGGAUAAUAUAUUGAACCGCAUGGUUCAAUAGUGAAAGACGGUUUUGCUGUCACUUAUAGAUGGAUCCGCGCCGCAUUAGCUAGUUGGUAAGGUAACGGCUUACCAAGGCGACGAUGCGUAGCCGACCUGAGAGGGUGAUCGGCCACACUGGAACUGAGACACGGUCCAGACUCCUACGGGAGGCAGCAGUAGGGAAUGUUCCGCAAUGGGCGAAAGCCUGACGGGGCAACGCCGCGUGAGUGAUGAAGGUCUUCGGAUCGUAAAACUCUGUUAUUAGGGAAGAACAAAUGUGUAAGUAACUAUGCACGUCUUGACGGUACCUAAUCAGAAAGCCACGGCUAACUACGUG